rnacentral:sRNA from 1 species
UCAAAAUAUGAAUGUAAGAAACGGUGAAUUCUUAUGUGACAUAGUUGGAUUUUAAGUUCUUAUAAACCCAAUCCGAGCUGAACAAAAAUAAAAUCAAACUUAAACUUAACUUUUUAAAAAGAAAAAAUAACUUUGUACCAAAUCUAUGUACAAUAUAUUUUGUUUUACAUUCAUAAACUUUUUAAAAUACUCAAAGUUUCCUAAACUUUUAUUUCUAAUGAACUUUUGAUUCUGGUUACUGUGCUAAUUAGCUUAGUUUAAAAAAUAGAAUAUUACGUAAUUAAGCAUUUUUGGAAAGUUAAUGCCUAAUUAGGCACUUUAAAAAGAGCAGACACUUUCGAUAGAUUAUUUGACCCAUUUACCCUUUAAAUACACUUUUAUUUCGUUACAUUUUAUUUGUCUUUCUCUCCUUCUCCUCUCACUUCUCUCUCUUUCUCUCAUUUUUCAAGAAGAGACAAUCAAGCGGAGAAAAUAAAAACCUUUAAAAUAAAAACCUCCCUCCCUCUCUGCCCAUCAUCAGUCAACUUAUAAAUUUGUUUCUCAAUUUUGUUAUACUUGAAUUUCUAGGGUUUUGUUGAAAUCUGAGAUUCAGAUUUUGCUUCUCUCUCUCUCUCUCUCUCUCUCUCUC